GACGGAGGGCGCAAGCGUUGUUCGGAAUUACUGGGCGUAAAGCGCGCGCAGGCGGGAAGGUAAGUCUGGAGUGAAAUUCCGGGGCUCAACUCCGGAGCUGCUUUGGAUACUGUCUUUCUAGGGACCGGUAGAGGCCAGUAGAAUUCCCGGUGUAGCGGUAGAAUGCGCAGAUAUCAGGAGGAACACCGGUGGCGAAGGCGGGUCUCUGGGCCGAAACUGACGCUGAGGAGCGAAAGCGUGGGGAGCGAACAGG
rnacentral:rRNA from 1 species